AGAGUUUGAUCCUGGCUCAGAACAAACGUUGGCGGCGUGCCUAAUACAUGCAAGUCGAACGGGGAAAGCUCCUUCGGGAGCCGGUACCAGUGGCGCACGGGUGAGUAACGCGUGGAUAAUCUGCCCUCAGGCGGGGAAUAACUAGCCGAAAGGUUAGCUAAUACCGCAUACGAUCGCAGUCUCUGCGGAGGCAGCGAUGAAAGGCUUCGGCCACCUGAGGAUGAGUCCGCGUCCGAUUAGCUUGUUGGUGGGGUAAAAGCUCACCAAGGCUCCGAUCGGUAGCUGGUCUUAGAGGAUGAUCAGCCACACUGGGACUGAGACACGGCCCAGACUCCUACGGGAGGCAGC
rnacentral:rRNA from 1 species